AUUGAACGCUGGCGGCAGGCCUAACACAUGCAAGUCGAACGAGUGGCGGACGGGUGAGUAAUGUAUGGGAAACUGCCCGAUGGAGGGAGAUAACUACUGGAAACGGUAGCUAAUACCGCAAACCAUCGGAUGUGCCCUGAUGGGAUUAGCUAGUAGGUGGGGUAACGUCUCACCUAGGCGACGAUCCCUAGCUGGUCUGAGAGGAUGACCAGCCACACUGGAACUGAGACACGGUCCAGACUCCUACGGGAGGCAGCAGUGGGGAAUAUUGCACAAUGGGCGCAAGCCUGAUGCAGCCAGGCCGCGUGUAUGAAGAAGGCCUUCGGGUUGUAAAGUACUUUCAGCGAGGAGGCGUUACUCGCAGAAGAAGCACCGGCUAACUCCGUGCCAGCAGCCGCGGUAAUAC
rnacentral:rRNA from 1 species